AUUUAAACAUAUUGAAAAUUUAAAAUAAACCUCAGAAUAUCUUUUUAUAUAUUCUUAAGAAUACUUCGAUCCUGGGUAUAUCAAUCAGUGGGUAAGAUCACUUGCUCUAAAAGCACACUGGCCUGAGUUCUGAUUGCUCACACCCAUUUAAACCUUAGCAUGUAAGGUCACACAUAACCUUGGCAUUUCAGGAAACAGAGCUGGGAAAUAGCACAGGAUCACCGAGAAACUCUUUCAAAGGGAAAAGGCAGAGAAAAAUAGGAAAUUUGACAUAUUCUACCUUUCAUAUGCACACACACACACACACACACACACACACACACACACACAUCUCAAAUGUCAACCUAAGAUUCAUUACUGUGAAAAAGAAAAAAAUUCAAAAUUUAGCAAUUCAUAUAUAAGUCAAUAAAGAAUCCUGGGAAAUUGAUACUAUAUCAGUGUUGAAUCCACUAGGUUUAGACUUAGAAGACAAUAACUGAAUAAUCUCAAAUAGUUAAGUAUUAUGUUAUUUUUCAGCCUUAGCUUGGGUAACCUAAUAUCCCAUUCUCACAGUACCUUUGUUUUUAUACAUAUAUGGGAUAUAAUUUUCUAUGAAGAUUUAAUCCAUACACCAUCCAUGGGAGUGUUGGCUCAUCUAAAAUUGUCAACAAUUCUUGAAUCGCUGUGCUUGAAAAUUUUAACAACCACAUAAUAUUGCAAGCCACAGAAUCAAGAAAGCAUUCUUUUGAACUUAGCCUAAUCUUAAAAGAGUAUUAAAUAACUUUAAGCCAAGCUUUAUACAUAUAAAAAAGGGUCAUAAUAAUUCCAAUUGCACAUGAUUAAAGUGUAGAAAAGAUGGUGUAAUAAGGUGAGCACUAAGGAUAAUGCCUGGUUAUAUGCCCAGCUUCCAGGAAUGACAGGAUAGCAUUACAUUAGCUAAAUCCUCAGUUGUGUUGACUCAGUGGGAGAGCUCUGAAAGUCACUGUACUAAACUGGAGAAGCCACAGCUCUUCUGUGGAGUUUUAUUUUAUUUUUUUUAACUUUUUAUCUAGUCAGAUAUUUUUCUUUUAUUCAUUGAAUCUCCUAUUCUCUCCUCUAUAUUCCCUUCCGUUUUUUCUUUGUUCCUAUUUUCUUUUUGGGAUGUGUGUGUGUGUGUGUGUGUGUGUGUGUGUGUGUGUGCAUGCAUAUGCUAAGAUUUGAAGCCUUAUCUCAUUUAUGCUAAAAACCCAUUCUACCAUAGAUAUCUUCACAACCUCUUGUUUUUCUUUCUUAUCCAUUCACUCAAACCUUGAUGAUUGGCUUACCAUCAAACACUAAGUUUUAUUAAGUUUGACUUCAUCAUCCUGGUAUUAUCUUCAUAAUCAUGCAAAGUAACAGUCUUAGUCAGUGUUCUGUGCUCUGAAGAGACAUCACGACCAAAGCAGCUCUUAUAAAAGAAAGCAUUUAAUUGUGGCUUGAUUACAGUUUUAGAGGCUUAGCAUAGUUAGAUGUAGUACUUGAGAAGUUAAAUACAGGCAACAGAAAGAGACAGCCACUGGGCUUGGCUAUGACACAGUUCCUUCAACAGCAAGGCCAUAUCUCCUAAUCCUUUCAAAUAACACUAUGUCCUGGUGACCAUGCAUUGAAAUAUGUAAGCCUACAUGGGUAUUCUUAUUUAAACCACCAUGAUAGCCCUAUCCAUUUUCUUUCCAUAUUUUCCUCUGAUAGAAAAACCACAAAUAAUUUAAAUUCUUUACAAAGUCUUAGGAAGGGAUUUACAUUUGUAGAAGCGCCAGUAAAAGACACUGUAAAAUGUGUAUCAAGGAGAUACCAAAAUAUCACUCAGGACCAACCCUCAUUACCAAAGUUUCAUCCCUGAGACACACAUGUUAGGAGAGAACUGAUUCCAGCAAGUUGGCCUCUGACCUCCACAUACAAAAUUAAAGUGCAUGUAUAUUUCUUAAAAGUUUGAGAUUAUAGUAUAAUCACAUUUCUCCAUUCCUUUUCCUCCUCCUAAAUCUCCCGAAAUACCUUGCUCACUUUCAAGUUCGUGAACUCUUUUAUCAUUAGUUGUUUAUUACAUACAUAUAUAGAUAGAUACUGUGAUGGUUUGACUAUGCUUAGCCAAUGGAAAAUGAUACUAGAGGGAAUGGCCUUGUUGGAGAAGUUGUGGCCUUGUGUUAGGAAGUGGAUCACUGAGGAGGUUUUAAGGUUUUACACUUUUGCUCUGAGCAAGAAAGAAGAAAGUUUCAUUGUGGCUUUCCUCACAUAAAAAUGUAGUGUUCUCAGGUUCUUCUCCAGCACCAUGUCUGUGUGAAAGCUGCCAUAAUGGUAAUGGACUGGAUAUCCAAAUAUGUAAGCCAGUCCCAAUUAAAUGUUUUCCUUUAUAAGUGUUGCCUUGUCAUAGUGUCUCUUCACAGCAAUGAUACCCAAACUAAAACAGAAUUUAGUUCCAGGAGUGGGGUAUUUAUGUGAUCAGCCAAAAGUGUUUGUAAGGAAUAUGGAUUUGGGGACUUCAGAUUUGGAGAACAGUGAAAUGCUUUAAGUGGGGCUUAAUGGGCAAACCUAGUGGGAGUAUGAAAAAUAUUGGUGCUUAGGUGAUUUGAACUCUAGGGGCCUGCAUCAAGAGCUUUCAGAGGAGAGGAAUUUUAGUAUAUUGCCUGGAGAUCUUUCUUGUGGGGUUUUGGUGAAGAAGAAUGUGGUUCUUUUUUUUUAAUGUCUAAAAAGGAAUAAAAAAUAUAUUUUAAAAUACUAUUCCAGAUUGACAAGUGACUAUCAAUUCUAACAUACUUAUGUUUGCUGACUGACUAGUCGACUGGCUUGCUUUCUCUCUUUUCUAUCUUAUGUGGUUCUUUUAUGCCCUCUUCUGAGUUGUCUGCUUAAGGCCAUGGUGAAGAGAUUCAGAUUAGUUUCAUUGAAGAAGGAGGUCUCAAAGCAUCCUAGCAUGGAUUCUUGCCUGUGGUUCACUCAUGAAAAUAUCUUCUGAUUAGAUGUAGCAAGCUUAGAAAGGAAAAAAAG
rnacentral:lncRNA from 1 species